rnacentral:rRNA from 1 species
UGCCAGCAGCCGCGGUAAUACGUAGGGGGCAAGCGUUAUCCGGAAUUACUGGGUGUAAAGGGAGCGUAGGCGGUAAUGUAGGUCAGAUGUGAAAGCCCGGGGCUCAACCCCGGGACUGCAUUUGAAACUGCAUAACUAGAGUACAGGAGAGGAAAGUGGAAUUCCUAGUGUAGCGGUGAAAUGCGUAGAUAUUAGGAGGAACACCAGUGGCGAAGGCGACUUUCUGGACUGUAACUGACGCUGAGGCUCGAAAGCGUGGGGAGCGAACAGGAUUAGAUA